rnacentral:lncRNA from 1 species
GUUGAGUUAGUUCACUCCCACACCAGCAGGAGAUGGGAUCCUGAGUCUGGUUUAUGAUUGUAUUGCUAGGGUGGCUGGCUACUUCUGGUCACCUUGGACUAUGGGACAAGAGAUUAGAGCCAGGGAAGAGAGCCCACUGAGGUCUUGUGCACAGUGAACGGUUAGGAAAGAGGAUUUGAGGGUGGGGAGGGGAUGAUUCCAUGAAUGGAAAAUAGAAUUUCUCUUGUGUUCCUAAGCCUGAGUAAUGCUUUGGUUGCUUAGUUUACAGACUUUAUCCUAACUAAUUUUGAGCUACUCUCACUGAGUCUCAGCCUGCAGGAGGAUCUAUUCAUGAAUAUACUCACAUUUUCUUGAAAAAUUAAGAGACUAUUUUAACCAGUUUACCCAGUUUCAUUUAGACUUUGGC